rnacentral:rRNA from 1 species
CGUGGAUAACCUACCUAUAAGACAGGGAUAACUUCGGGAAACCGGAGCUAAUACCGGAUAAUAUUUUGAACCGCAUGGUUCAAAAGUGAAAGGCGGACUUGCUGUCACUUAUAGAUGGAUCCGCGCUGCAUUAGCUAGUUGGUAAGGUAACGGCUUACCAAGGCAACGAUGCAUAGCCGACCUGAGAGGGUGAUCGGCCACAAUGGAACUGAGACACGGUCCAGACUCCUACGGGAGGCAGCAGUAGGGAAUCUUCCUCAAUGGUCGAAUGCCUGACGGAGCAACGCCGCGUGAGUGUU